rnacentral:rRNA from 1 species
UACGGGGGGGGCAAGCGUUGUUCGGAAUUACUGGGCGUAAAGGGCGCGUAGGCGGCCUGCUAAGUCGGAUGUGAAAUCCCUCGGCUCAACCGAGGAACUGCAUCCGAUACUGGCGGGCUUGAGUCCGGGAGAGGUGAGUGGAACUGCGAGUGUAGAGGUGAAAUUCGUAGAUAUUCGCAAGAACACCAGUGGCGAAGGCGGCUCACUGGCCCGGUACUGACGCUGAGGUGCGAAAGCGUGGGGAGCAAACAGG